UUGAUCUCAAAUCAGGUAGGACUACCCGCUGAACUUAAGCAUAUCAAUAAGCGGAGGAAAAGAAACUAACAAGGAUUCCCCUAGUAACUGCGAGUGAAGCGGGAAGAGCUCAAAUUUAAAAUCUGGCGUGCCUCUGGUCGUCCGAGUUGUAGUCUGGAGAAGCGUUUUCCGUGUUGGACCGUGUACAAGUCUCUUGGAACAGGGCGUCAUAGAGGGUGAGAAUCCCGUCUUUGACACGGACUACCAAUGCUUUGUGAUGCGCUCUCAAAGAGUCGAGUUGUUUGGGAAUGCAGCUCAAAAUGGGUGGUAAAUUCCAUCUAAAGCUAAAUAUAGGCGAGAGACCGAUAGCGAACAAGUACCGUGAGGGAAAGAUGAAAAGCACUUUGGAAAGAGAGUUAAACAGUACGUGAAAUUGCUGAAAGGGAAACGCUUGAAGUCAGUCAUGUCUGCCAGGACUCAGCCUUGCUUCUGCUUGGUGCACUUUCUGGUUUGAUGGGCCAACAUCAAUUUUGACCGCUGGAGAAAGGCUUUGGGAAUGUGGCACCUUUGGGUGUGUUAUAGCCCUUUGUCGUAUGCAACGGUUGGGAUUGAGGACUGCAGCACGCCUUCAUGGCCGGGGUUCGCCCACGUACGUGCUUAGGAUGUUGGCAUAAUGGCUUUAAGCGACCCGUCUUGAA
rnacentral:rRNA from 1 species